ensembl:lncRNA MIR762HG MIR762 host gene
AGGAUGCAGAGGAAGCAGGCACCAAAAACAACAACGACAGUGACACUGUGUGGAGGAACGAACCUGAUAUUUGAUAUUUCUGAAAAUGCCUCGAGUCCCAAGAACCCAGCCCCUAAGCCUUCAGCUCUGUCCCAGGUCUGCCUCUCCUCCAGGCCCUCAGGACGCAGGCUCCAAGCCUUCGACUGCCCAGAUCCCCCAUUCCCUCCAAGACCCAGGAGUCCAGCCUUCUGGCCUCUCUCACCUCAGCUUCCAGCAGUUCUGGAACAGGCUCCUCCUUGGUCAGCAUUGGGGGUUCGUCGGUGCUGCCAGCAGUUAUGCCCCCGGGAUCUGGAACGUCAAGGCGCUGCGAAUACGAGUGGGUCUCCACCACCAGAAUGGCUAAAGUGAAAAAGACCGCACCGUGUGGAGGCGAGAAAGUAGAGCGACUGGACCUCUCUUGUAUUUCUGGGGGAGUGUAAAUUGGUAGAGACAUUUUGGAAAACUGGCAGUUUUCUAAUGAAGCCGAACAUAUGCCACCUCUGUGAUCCAGCAGUUCCACUCCUAGGCUGUCAACACCCAGCAGAAAUGUGUAGGUGUGAGCAUCAAGAGGGUGCAUGGGAAUGUUCAGAGCCCUUUCAUAACAGCCCCAAACUGGAAAUAACCCAUCAACAGAAUGGAAAAUGAAUGAUGCCCUACUCACUACCAUGCACAUAGACACAGCAACGGGAUUGACAUGCCCGGCUACACACAGCAACAUAGACAAGUCGCAUGAUGAAAUCUUGAGUGACAGAAGCCAAAUGCAACAGUACAUACUAGAUGGUUCCAGGUGUAUUACGUUCAGAACCAGACAAAACUAAUUUAUAGUGCACCAAAGUCAAGAUAGUGAUCGCCCUUAGGGUUGGGAGGGGACGAGGGGAGAGCUUCUGGGAGCUGAUCCAGUUCUGUUGUGU